rnacentral:rRNA from 1 species
ACGGGAGGCAGCAGUGGGGAAUAUUGCACAAUGGGGGAAACCCUGAUGCAGCGACGCCGCGUGAGUGAAGAAGUUAUUCGUAAUGUAAAGCUCUAUCAGCAGGGAAGAAAAUGACGGUACCUGACUAAGAAGCCCCGGCUAACUACGUGCCAGCAGCCGCGGUAAUACGUAGGGGGCAAGCGUUAUCCGGAUUUACUGGGUGUAAAGGGAGCGUAGACGGCAAGGCAAGUCUGAUGUGAAAACCCAAGGCUCAACCAUGGGACUGCAUUGGAAACUGUCUAGCUAGAGUGCAGGAGAGGUAAGUGGAAUUCCUAGUGUAGCGGUGAAAUGCGUAGAUAUUAGGAGGAACACCAGUGGCGAAGGCGGCUUACUGGACUGUAACUGACGUUGAGGCUCGAAAGCGUGGGGAGCAAACAGGAUUAGAUACCCUGGUA